rnacentral:rRNA from 1 species
CCUACGGGAGGCAGCAGUGGGGAAUAUUGCUCAAUGGGCGCAAGCCUGAUCCAGCCACGUAGCGUGAAGGAUGAAUGCUCUACGUGUUGUAAACUUCUUUUAUAAAGGAGUAAAUGGCGGCACGUGUGCCUUUUUGUCUGUACUUUAUGAAUACGGAUCGGCUAACUCCGUGCCAGCAGCCUCGGUAAUACGGAGGAUCCGGGCGUUAUCCGGAUUUAGUGGGUUUAAAGGGAGCGUAGAUGGGUUGUUAAGUCAGUUGUGAAAGUUUGCGGCUCAACCGUAAAAUUGCAAUUGAUACUGGCAGCCUUGAGUACAGUUGAGGUAGGCGGAAUUCGUAGUGUAGCAGUGAAAUGCUUAGAUAUCACGAAGAACUCCGAUUGCGAAGGCAGCUUACUAAACUGCAACUGACAUUGAUGCUCGAAAGUGUGGGUAUCAAACAGGAUUAGAUACCCUGGUAGUC